GAUGAACGCCGGCGGUGUGCCUAAUACAUGCAAGUCGAGCGCACUGGCCCAGCUGAUAUGACGUGCUUGCACUGAUUUGACGAUGGAUUACCAGUGAGCGGCGGACGGGUGAGUAACACGUGGGCAACCUGCCCUGGAGCGGGGGAUAACAUCUGGAAACAGGUGCUAAUACCGCAUGACUACUAAAACCACCUGGUUUUAGUAUAAAAGAAGGCUUCGGCUUUCACUCUAGGAUGGGCCCGCGGUGCAUUAGCUAGUUGGUAAGGUAACGGCUUACCAAGGCGAUGAUGCAUAGCCGAGUUGAGAGACUGAUCGGCCACAAUGGAACUGAGACACGGUCCAUACUCCUACGGGAGGCAGCAGUAGGGAAUCUUCCACAAUGGGCGCAAGCCUGAUGGAGCAACACCGCGUGAGUGAAGAAGGGUUUCGGCUCGUAAAGCUCUGUUGUUGAAGAAGAACGUGCGUGAGAGUAACUGUUCACGC
rnacentral:rRNA from 2 species